CUGGCUCAGGAUGAACGCUGGCGGCGUGCCUAAUACAUGCAAGUCGAACGAGAGUGCUUGCACUCUAGUGGCGAACGGGUGAGUAACACGUAGGUAACCUGCCUUACAGUUGGGAUACCCUGGCGAAAGCUAGGCUAAUACCGAAUAAUUGGAUUGGAGGCAUCUCCGAUCUCUAAAAGGGGCCUUUAAAGCCUCGCUGAAUGAUGGACCUGCGGCGCAUUAGCUAGUUGGUGAGAUAACAGCCACCAAGGCGAGGAUGCGUAGCCGACCUGAGAGGGUGAACGGCCACACUGGAACUGAGACACGGUCCAGACUCCUACGGGAGGCAGCAGUAGGGAGUUUUCGGCAAUGGGGGCAACCCUGACCGAGCAACGCCGCGUGAAUGAAUGAAGGUCUUCGGAUUGUAAAGUUCUGUUAUAAGGGAAAAAUGAUACGGUGAGGAAAUGCUCCAUAUUUGAUGGUACCUUAUUAGAAAGCCACGGCUAACUACGUGCCAGCCGCGGC
rnacentral:rRNA from 1 species